UGAGGACAUGUCGCUCUGACCUGGUCGAGGGCGCCCCGGAAGGAGAGAAGAGCAUCUGCUUGGAGGAGGGUGAGCGUCCGAGGUGAAGCCACCCCACACCCCCCGGCUGCAGGCUCCUGAACCCCGCACGCAGACCGAUGGACCGGCCUUGGGGAAGUCCUGUCGGGGAGCAGGGCUCUCCCCUCCUCUGCCUCAUUUGCCUUCUACUGCUGAUCCUUUCAAGAUUUCUUGGUUAAUGAAGAAGCAAAGCCCUUGUCUUCUGGGACGCAGGCUCAUUCCUCAAUUUCUGGGGAAAGCACUUCGUGGGAAGCUGAGGGAUGGAGAGAGGAUGCAGCUGGGGGCCUGGACGUUGAGGGAAGAAAGUCAUGCCCCAGAGGGAGACACACCCCUAAGGGGAACAAAGCCAUGGCACCAGGGAUACUCUCCAGAUCCUUUCUGUCUGCCGACCUCGAAGUCCCACUUGUGCAUAAGGAGACUGGUCCCGGGGCAGCCAGCGGUCCCUGAGCUCGCAGCGAAGAGAGUGAGGCUGGAUCGUACCUGGAGGCUGAGAGGUCCCCUCCGUCCUUGCCAUCCCAGACGGUUUCUUCAUCUGUAAAAUGGGGACAACAGCAGAACCCGCCUCAUGAAGUUGCUCUAAGGAUGAAAUGAGGUGACGUAAGCCAUCAGUGCUGCCUCUAGUCUGGUGCGCCAACAGCACACUCACUGGCAGCACCAUUCCCCACUUCCACCAAAUGUCAUCUUAUCAAAAAGAAUUAAUCAGUCAAUAAAUUCAAUUUAAAAACUUGAGAUGUAGUUGACAUAUGACACUGAGGAAGUUUAAGGUGCACAGCGUGUUGGUUUGAUGCACUUACAUAUUGUAGCAUGACUGUCACUGUAGCCACCAGGCUUGAAUCUCAUCUACCGAGUAACGGAUCUGACUGACAAUCAGCGAGGCCAGUGAGUCAGCCUGAACAGAGGUGGCUGGACUCUCCACGGCUCGUCCCCUGCUUUGGAGCGGAGGGAAAUUUAAAAGGAGAUGGUUGUUAAAAGCACAGCUUUGGAGCCAUUUGGACCAAGGUAUGAGUCCUCGCUCGCUCUCUCUCUCCUCGGGGGCCCUGGGGAGACUGCCUACCUCUCUGCAUCCCCAUUUCUCCACCUUCAGCGGGUGAAUGACGGUCACUCCUCCUCCACGUCCUCCUGCUGUUUCUGCUGCUCCUCUCUCCGUGGCAGUGGCUGCGCGGUCUGGCCUGAAGGAGGCACUCGUGCAGGCGUAUCGGCCCAAGGGCCCAUUUUCAAUUCAACUGAUUAAGGACUGCCUGGAAGCACCGACCUCGUCUCCUGUAACCCUCGUUUUGCAGUGGCUGUUGAGUUCCUCCUCUAUAGACGGUGGCCGUCUGCACAGCCGGGAAACGCCUCCUCCGCCCUGGACGGCCACACCGACCGUCAAAGGGAACGUAAGAGAGUGGUGUUUGAGAACGCAGCUGCUCUGGACUCUUGAUUUAACCUCCUAAAUAUCUUUAAAUCCGUCCGUCCCUACAGCUCCCGCCCCAGCCCGAGCUCCUGUCCUCUCUUACCUAGACAGCUGCCAUUGCUUCCUUCUUACUUGCGAUCCGCCGAGAAAGCAGAGCCCACGAGCACUUCUGCGCUGGCUGUUAACUUAGGAGUAACUCCCGAAUCAGGAGUGGGGGCAGGCAGAGUGGGAGGAGAGGGAAUGUCCACCGAGACCGUGUAAGUGAGGUCACCGCCGUGGAACCUCGCACCCGCCCAGGGCCGUCUGAAGGGCGCACCCUGGUUGCCCAGGAGGGGCCUUUGCCAUUGGCUCCCGUUCCCACUGGCCGAGGGCUGCUCCUGGAAGCGUGGACUCCCCUGCACUUCAGAUCAUUCCCACACGCGCACCGGCAGCUUCCCCGGCACCGGUGUCAUUGGAGAAGCCCUGGGGGAGGAUGCACUUGAGGCUGGGCCGUUGUGUGAGGCCACUGAAGCCCACGUGGGAGUGUCCCCCAUGACCAUAGCUGUGGCCCAGCUCAAAGGGGAUGCCAAGCAGGUGUGGGGCAGACCCCCAAGUCUUCUAGUAGUCUCCUAACUGCCCUACCCUCACCAGUGCCGGCGCCUCGCUCCUCCUACACCGCAGCUACAAGUGACUAUGUUUUCAAAAUGUAAAAUGGAUCUGUUGCUUAUACCCACCCCCACAACUGUCAGGGCUAAAAUCAGUUCUGUGGAUAAAGAUCACAGUCCUGAGAUGGCCCAGGACGCCCUGCACCAGCCUUUGCUACCUCUGCCCGUGGCUUCUGUGUUUUCUCCUCCCACCCCCCACCUCACUCCCUGCAAAUGGGCCGCUUUACCUGCUUGUCAUCUCAUCAAAAGUGCUGCGCGCACGCUGACCACAGGGCCUUUGCACAGGCAAUCCCUUCUUUCACUAGCAACCCCCUAUUUGUCCUUCGCCUCUCAGCUCAAGCACCACUUCCACAGAGGAGUCUUUUAAACCUCAUCUCUGGGAUGGGCCAGGGUCCCUUGCCAAGCCUGUUAGACCCACAUGGUCUCCUUGCAGAGGAACUAGUGUCAGCAUUUACCCAGUGUGUGUGUGGGGGGGUUGUAGUUGGAAGGCCAGUCUGGGAGGGUGACUGACUUCUUGCGGCACAGCCUUUGGGACCUUUGGGACCUUUGGGUCCUUUGGAAAUGUACACCAUGUUCUCAUGUUACCAACUAGAGCUAUUAGGUAAUUACAAAUAAAUCAAAGCAAUGAGACAACUGCAAAA